AGGGUUUGAUUCUGGCUCAGGAUGAACGCUAGCGGCAGGCUUAACACAUGCAAGUCGAGGGGUAACAGGGAUUGCUUGCAAUCCGCUGACGACCGGCGCACGGGUGCGUAACGCGUAUGCAACCUACCUUUUACUGGGGGAUAGUCAAGAGAAAUUUUGAAUAAUACCCCAUACGAUCUGAUUCACUCCUGUGAAACAGAAGAAAAUUACGAUGGUAAAAGAUGGGCAUGCGUCCUAUUAGUUUGUUGGUGAGGUAACGGCUCACCAAGACUACGAUAGGUAGGGGUCCUGAGAGGGAGAUCCCCCACACUGGUACUGAGACACGGACCAGACUCCUACGGGAGGCAGCAGUGAGGAAUAUUGGACAAUGGAGGCAACUCUGAUCCAGCCAUGCCGCGUGCAGGAUGACGGCCCUAUGGGUUGUAAACUGCUUUUAUACAGGAAGAAACGUUAGUACGUGUACUAACCUGACGGUACUGUAAGAAUAAGGAUCGGCUAACUCCGUGCCAGCAGCCGCGGUAGUACA
rnacentral:rRNA from 1 species